rnacentral:rRNA from 1 species
AUUGAACGCUGGCGGCAUGCCUUACACAUGCAAGUCGAGCGGCAGCGGGGGAGAAGCUUGCUUUUCCUGCCGGCGAGUGGCGAACGGGUGAGUAAUACAUCGGAACGUGCCCUGUAGUGGGGGAUAACUAGUCGAAAGAUUAGCUAAUACCGCAUACGACCUGAGGGUGAAAUUGGGGGACCGCAAGGCCUCAUGCUAUAGGAGCGGCCGAUGUCUGAUUAGCUAGUUGGUGGGGUAAAGGCCUACCAAGGCGACGAUCAGUAGCUGGUCUGAGAGGACGAUCAGCAAAACUGGGACUGAGACACGGCCCAGACUCCUACGGGAGGCAGCAGUGGGGAAUUUUGGACAAUGGGCGAAAGCCUGAUCCAGCAAUGCCGCGUGUGUGAAGAAGGCCUUCGGGUUGUAAAGCACUUUUGUCCGGAAAGAAAUGGCUCUGGUUAAUACCUGGGGUCGAUGACGGUACCGGAAGAAUAAGGACCGGCUAACUACGUGCCAGCAGCCGCCGUAA